rnacentral:rRNA from 1 species
GACGAACGCUGGCGGCGUGCUUAACACAUGCAAGUCGAGCGGUAAGGCCCUUUCGGGGGUACACGAGCGGCGAACGGGUGAGUAACACGUGGGUGACCUGCCCUCAGCUCUGGGAUAAGCCUGGGAAACUGGGUCUAAUACUGGAUAUGACUCCACGGUGCAUGUCGUGGGGUGGAAAGCCUUGUGCGGCUGAGGAUGGGCCCGCGGCCUAUCAGCUUGUUGGUGGGGGAUGGCCUACCAAGGCGACGACGGGUAGCCGGCCUGAGAGGGCGACCGGGCCACACUGGGACUGAGACACGGCCCAGACUCCUACGGGAGGCAGCAGUGGGGAAUCUUGCGCAAUGGGCGAAAGCCUGACGCAGCGACGCCGCGUGAGGGAUGACGGCCU